GGUACCCCAUCUAAGUACUAACCGCGCCCGACGCUGCUUAAUUUUGGUGAUCGGACGAGAACCGAUGUAUUCAGCGUAGUAUGGUCGUUGGC
rnacentral:rRNA from 1 species